AUUUUAAAUUACAUAACUUGAACUCACAUUAAUCCUUGAGUUUUUGAAUCCACAAAACCAAAUUCACCUUAAUGGUAAGAAGUCCAGAUUAAAAGGCAAUUAAUGCGAUAAGCAACUAUAAUGAUAAUUCACCAAUAAGCACAAGUUCAAGGAGAAAACAAUGAUGAAUCAAGCAAAUGAUUAACUUGAUCUACAACAAAAUCAACAAAGCAUUGUACUUUAAUAUUGUCAACGAGAAAAGAAAGAAAGGGACAAUAACAGAAAGCUCACCAAUAGUGGGAAUAGUGGU
rnacentral:misc_RNA from 1 species